rnacentral:rRNA from 1 species
CCCGGCACAAGCGGAGGUAACAUGUGGUUAAUUCGAUGAUACGCGAGGAACCUUACCUGGGGCUCGAACGCGGGAGGAAUUCUGCCGAAAGGUGGGAGCUAGCAAUAGCCGCCUGCGAGGUGCUGCAUGGUUGUCGUCAGCUCGUGCCGUGAGGUGUCGGCUUAAGUGCCAUAACGAGCGCAACCCCUAUUGUUAGUUGCCAGCGGGUCAUGCCGGGGACUCUAACAAAACUGCCAGCGUAAGCUGUGAGGAAGCGGGGAUGACGUCAAAUCAGCACGGCCCUUACGUCCAGGGCUACACACGUGUUACAAUGGCCGGUACAGAGGGCAGCUACCCCGUAAGGGGAUGCGAAUCUCUAAAGCCGGUCCCAGUUCGGAUUGAAGUCUGCAACUCGACUUCAUGAAGUUGGAUUCGCUAGUAAUCGCGCAUCAGCCACGGCGCGGUGAAUACGUUCCCGGGCCUU